GUCAGGCAUGGUGGUACAUGCUUGUAAACCCAGAUAUAAAGGAGGCUGAGACUACAAGAUCUCUUGAGCUCAGAAAUUGCAAACUGAAGUAGGCAAUGGAGAUUGGGGUCACAAACUAAGCUGGGCAUUAAAAUGGUGAGCCCCCAGGAGCAAGAGGGCUACCAGGUUGCCUAAGGUGAGACAAACUGGCCCAGGUCAGAAAUGAUUCAGGUAAAAGUUCCCAUUCCUAUCAACAGGGGAGUCAGACACAUGAGUAGUAGUCCCUGGAUGUCUAGGCUGAGUGAAAUUGGGAGACUCAUUCUUU
rnacentral:SRP_RNA from 1 species